UACGGGGGGGGCAAGCGUUGUUCGGAAUUACUGGGCGUAAAGGGCGCGUAGGCGGUCUACUAAGUUGGAUGUGAAACUCUGGGCUUAACCCAGAGCCUGCAUUCAAACUGAUAGGCUGGAGUUCUGGAGGGGAUAGCGGAAUUCCUGGUGUAGCGGUGAAAUGCGUAGAUAUCAGGAGGAACACCGGUGGCGAAGGCGGCUAUCUGGACAGAAACUGACGCUGAGGCGCGAAAGCUAGGGAGC
rnacentral:rRNA from 1 species